rnacentral:rRNA from 1 species
CCUACGGGAGGCAGCAGUGAGGAAUCUUGGACAAUGGACGGAAGUCUGAACCAGCCAUGCCGCGUGCAUGAAGACGGCCCUAUGAGUUGUAAACCGUUUUUGUACAAGGGUAAACCUGAAUACGUGUCUUCUGCUGUAAGUACUGUACGAAUAAGGAUCGGCUAACCUCGUGCCAGCAGACCCGGUAAUACGGAGGAUCCAAGCGUUAUCUGGUUUUAUUGGGUUUAAAGGGUGCGUAGGUGGAUUGAUAAGUUAGAUGUGAAAUGUCCGGGCUUAACUCGGGAACUGCCUCUAAUACUGUUGAUCUAGAGAGUAGAUGCGGUAGGCGGAAUGUAUGGUGUAGCGGUGAAAUGCUUAGAGAU